GACAGUGUGGUGUAGGGGUUUGAGCCUUGGACUACACUCUGGAGGCCAGGGUUCGAUUCCCUGCUCAGUCA